GCACCUCCCUGGCGGCCUCAGACACUGGCCUCGUUAAGUGCUCUUGUCAAAUGUUGGAGCAGAUGGCACCAGGGAGAGUUAUGUCCUCAGAUCUGCAGAGCCUUGCCCAGCUGGGUGUGGGCAGUUACUAAGAAAUCCAUCUGAGUUCGAGGUCAGCCUGGUCUACAGAGUUAGUUCCAGGACAGCCAGGACUACACAGAGAAACCCUGUCUUGAAGAAAAAAGAAAAAAAGAAAAGGGGUGGCUAUUUUCCAGAUUGGAGAGUUGAGUGUCCUUGCCUCAUUUCAGUAUUGCAGUUGAAUGCAGAGACCUUGGUAACAAUGUUUAAUUAAAGAAAAAGACCAUUUGAAACAUAGUUGUCCGUGGCAAGCCCUGGAGGCACGUAGUCCCAGAGAAGCAACGCAGGCUCCCGGCACUGUGCUGAUGUUUCCCACAAGUGUUCCCUCUGCUCCGUGAGUUACUUGUGUUAGGUAGUAGGGAAACUUGGCUAUGUUCAUGUGACGUUCUCGCCAGUUAAGUGAAAUAAGACUCUACUAAAGCAGCCACGGGAGAUUUGAAGCCUAAGCCAUCACCACCACAGUAAGAAUUGUGCACUUAACCUGAGCUUGGUAGAAUAGCCACGGUACAGAAAAUCCUAUGUUUUCUCUUAGACCUUCUGUUUUUCCUUUAGGGAGUCUUUGCCUCACUAGUCUGUUUCCUUUUCCUAACAGACAUUUUCUUUGGACACACGGGCCUUUUCAGAAGGUCCAGCGUAGGCUCUGGGUCUCCUGGCCUGUGCAGAGUGAUGGCUGGUCUUUCUGUCCACGUGUCUGUUAGCGCGACACUCGUCCCUGCACAUUGAUGAGUGGGUAUUUAGGAUAAUGAAUGUAACUCUUAUUUAAAGGAGUCUCCUUGCUGAGAGUAGAUGAGUACUAUUACUGUAGUGUAUGAAGUAUUAGGUUUGUGCUGAAAAUCCAUUGCCAUUUGUUACAAAUGACAUUUGUUCUUUCUGUGAAAGAGAGAUGCCCUUAAGUGUGUUUGCACACAAACCCCUGGAUGGCUUGUUGCAGUGUCACCUUGUCUCGAUGACAGGUGAUGCUGAAGAGACACUAUGGCAGACCAGCCACCCAGUCCUUCCGUCAGUUGUUGCGUCAGUUCAGUCUAAUUUUAGUGUUUGGUGUUGAGUGUUGAAGCUUGCACUGCUGUAGAAUUGAUGGCUGCUCUCCGUCAGGCUGUGUGGGGUGUACACGUGGACCUGGAGCAUGCAUGUGUAACCAUAUGAUCAGUACUGCAGUUCCUGUAGUCUAACCCAUCUGCAUAGUCAGUUGGAAAAAGAAAUGUGCUGUUGUAGUAACGUAGAACAAAAGCUGCUAAAACAAUGUAGAGUGGACCAGGACCCGAGCUGAGCAGCAGGAGCCUCUGUUCCCUGCAGCCUGUGGGGCGGGUCCAGCCUUCUGAGGUGCCCUUCAAAGCCAUCAUCUGAGAGAAGAAACGGUUCAGGCGACAUGAGCAAGUUUCUGGGAAACUUUGUUUGAGAGCAUGCUAAGGUUUAUUUAAAACCCCAGGAAUUGCUCUUUCCAGGUGAAAAAUUCUUUUUUUGACCUGAAGGCAGAGGAAAGAGUUCCCUGCUAAUGAUUCCAUUCAGCUGAUGAAGUACUUGAUUAUUAGAGAGCAGUGCCACUAAGCAGCUUUAAGUUGUCCGUAAUCAUUGUAAACAUCAGUGCAGUACCUUCAAUAUGGUAAAGAUGUUGUCUUCAGAUGAAUGGCUCAUAUUUUGGUGCAGUGUUUGAUGUUCACAAAAAAAUGUUACAAUAAUAAACUAACAUAAACUG
rnacentral:lncRNA from 1 species